CGCGGGGAAUCUUACCGGGUCCGGACACACUGAGGAUUGACAGACAAUUGUCUUUUUGUCAAAUUUAAAGACAAAAGAUAACAGAUCUUUCAUGAUUAUGUGAUGGGUGGUGCAUGGCCGUUCUUAGUUCGUGGAGUGAUCUGUCUGCUUAAUUGCGUUUCAAAUAUAUUUUAUUAUAUAACGAGUCUACAAAGGAGUGGUUCAUUAACAGACAAUCAUAUCUUUGAGCGUCUGGAAUCUACUCUAUUUGGCUCAAUUGAACGCAACGGACGUGAUCGCGAGUCCUUGUUGAACUUCAGUAUAUAUUGACUUUCCCCGUAGGAAGGGAUUGGCAAUAAUUGAAUGUUCGCUUUCUAUAGGUGUGUAUGAUUAAUCUCAAAAUUACAUGUAUUUGUAGUGGCGAGUAUAAUUUACUAUCCUAUAGGAAAACUCGGGCGACCGCUGUAAUAUUUCUCUUUAAAACAGAGGAAGAUUGCGGCAAUAACAGGUCUGUGAUGC
rnacentral:rRNA from 1 species